UGACAAAAUAUACCAUUAUAAACUGAUCUACCGUAAAAAUACAAAUAAAAAAAACGACCACUGAAGCCCGCUUUAUUUAAACGGCGCGAGGUAAACCACUAAUCAGUAUAAUGUAUAAGUGCCAGUUCAUACACAGAACAUGUCUCAAACGGGAUUGUAUCCCAGGGUCAUCGGCUCUGGCUCUCUAAGCGGCCCAAGGCUUAGCCUUCACUUUCGCGUAUCCUGCGCCGCUCUGGUGAUUUUCCCACUUUAAAUCAGAUGGCGCGUGAGCCCUCUUUUUGAACCGGGCCGCCGCAGUGCCCUUACCCAGUUGGGUGUUGUCGGAUCAAAACUGCAUCCAUGAUCGCGUGCAUCGCGCCAGCAGCUGGUACAUUAUUCAUUUAUCUGCAGUUUUGUACGACGUACGACGUACAUGCUUCGCAGGUGCCUACAUUACCGACAUCGUCUUCCCUCCUGAACCAUGCUGUACCUUAUAGGCUUUGACCGGCUUCCUCUAUUGGCCGAGACCCUCUCUGGCCACAAACUGCUAAGCCGCGAUCCCCUCCCGUUACACUGCCAGCAGGUUGCCCCCUCCAGUGGCCAGUAAUACCUCUUGCGAGCCCGUGGAUACCGAUAUGCCCAUCAUGACCGGCCGACAUCGCGAACUCCCCGCCGGCUCCUGCGCAAGGGACAACGAUGCCGUGCGCCCCUCGGCUCAUGAUUCCUGUCGCGGGAGGCUGUGGCCUUAGCGUCUUGCUACUGCCAUGGCCCAUUCUGAUUUUUUCCGCUGGACUGUGGCAGCCACUGGCUGUCCUGCUGCGGCCAUAGCCGUAAUACCGCUGCUUUGUCACUGAGUCGAAAAUGUGGCGGGUAAGCUUUCCUGCAGCCCCCCAUUCAUACCCCACCGAAUCAAACGCUGGGCUUUAGCUUCGAGACGCAUGACCGCAAACCCGAGUCGUGGGAUACCAAUAAUAAUUAUUCAAUAAAAAUCAAGAAUAACAAUUAUAAUAAUAGUUAUACGAUAAAAGUCA